rnacentral:rRNA from 1 species
UAACUUAGUGGCGGACGGGUGAGUAACGCGUGGGUAACCUAAGCCUUACACAGGGGGAUAACACUUAGAAAUAGGUGCUAAUACCGCAUAAGCGCACAGUCCCGCAUGGGACAGAGUGAAAAACAUUAGUGGUGUAAGAUGGACCCGCGUCUGAUUAGCUGGUUGGCGGGGUAACGGCCCACCAAGGCGACGAUCAGUAGCCGGCCUGAGAGGGUGGACGGCCACAUUGGGACUGAGACACGGCCCAAACUCCUACGGGAGGCAGCAG